AACGAACGCUGGCGGCGUGCUUAACACAUGCAAGUCGAACGCGAAAGGGACCUCGGUCCUGAGUAGAGUGGCGCACGGGUGAGUAACGCGUAAGUUAUCUACCCCUCCAUCUGGAAUAACUCACCGAAAGGUGUGCUAAUACCGGAUACGUUGGAAACAAGAAAGGUGGCCUCUUCUAUGCUACCGUGGAGGGAUGAGCUUGCGUACCAUUAGCUAGUUGGUAGGGUAAUGGCCUACCAAGGCAACGAUGGUUAGCGGGUCUGAGAGGAUGAUCCGCCACACUGGAACUGGAACACGGACCAGACUCCUACGGGAGGCAGCAGUGAGGAAUAUUGCGCAAUGGGGGAAACCCUGACGCAGCGACGCCGCGUGGAUGAUGAAGGCCUUUGGGUCGUAAAAUCCUGUCAGAUGGAAAGAAUGUACAUGUGCUAAUAUCACUUGUAUUUGACGGUACCAUCAAAGGAGCACCGGCUAACUCGUGCCAGCAGCCGC
rnacentral:rRNA from 1 species